rnacentral:rRNA from 1 species
CCCACAGAAGAAGUCCCGGCAAACUCCGUGCCAGCAGCCGCGGUAAUACGGAGGGGGCAAGCGUUGUUCGGAAUUAUUGGGCGUAAAGGGCAUGUAGGUGGUUUGGUUAGUUAAAGGUGAAAUGCCAGGGCUUAACCCUGGAGCUGCUUUUAAUACUGCCAGACUGGAGUCCGGGAGAGGAUAGCGGAAUUCCUAGUGUAGAGGUGAAAUUCGUAGAUAUUAGGAGGAACACCAGUGGCGAAGGCGGCUAUCUGGUCCGGUACUGACACUAGGUGCGAAAGCGUGGGGAGCAAACAGGAUUAGAUACCCUGGUAGUCCACGCUGUAAACGAUGAGUGCUA